UUGCAAUUUCGUCAAACAGUAUUAAAAGAAUAGUGAAUGUGCGUUGCGUCACCUAGUAUCAGUAUUCUUUGUUUGGUGGUAUCCAAUUUCUUUCUACCAGGCAUGAUACAUCAGAUAAUUAAUGUUUUGUUCAUAUAUUUUUUUGUAUUAGUCUAUAUACUUUAUAAAGUUAAUUUUUUUUCAUCAUUGUAGAAUGUUCAUUUUAACGAUUUGUACUUACAUCUAAA